UUACAAGUGCAGUUGCUGUCCUUGAGAGCUGUCGAAGGGCAUUGUCAGAAACUGUUUCUGCAAGAGCUGGUGACAGGCUAUGUGUUGCACUGGGUGCUGAGUUAAAGGAGAUGCAAGAAAGGAUGGCAAACAGGCGCAUCUAUGAGGCCUCUGGAAGGGCGUACGUGCUAUCGGGGUUGAGUUCACACUCAUGGCAAAGAGCAACUGCACGAGGUGAUUCCACUGAUAGUGCAACCCUUCUGCAAGCUUACCAGACCCCAUCCAUGGUGGACAUGUUGACCCGAUCACAGACGAUGUUUGUGAGUAGUGGUGCUCCAUCACCUCAUCCAC
rnacentral:lncRNA from 1 species